AUGGUCUUAGCUUGCUAAGGCCGAUGGCGACCGGCGCACGGGUGAGUAACACGUAUCCAACCUGCCGUCUACUCUUGGACAGCCUUCUGAAAGGAAGAUUAAUACAAGAUGGCAUCAUGAGUCCGCAUGUUCACAUGAUUAAAGGUAUUCCGGUAGACGAUGGGGAUGCGUUCCAUUAGAUAGUAGGCGGGGUAACGGCCCACCUAGUCUUCGAUGGAUAGGGGUUCUGAGAGGAAGGUCCCCCACAUUGGAACUGAGACACGGUCCAAACUCCUACGGGAGGCAGCAGUGAGGAAUAUUGGUCAAUGGGCGCAGGCCUGAACCAGCCAAGUAGCGUGAAGGAUGACUGCCCUAUGGGUUGUAAACUUCUUUUAUAAAGGAAUAAAGUCGGGUAUGUAUACCCGUUUGCAUGUACUUUAUGAAUAAGGAUCGGCUAACUCCGUGCCAGCAGCCGCGGUAAUACGGAGGAUCCGAGCGUUAUCCGGAUUUAUUGGGUUUAAAGGGAGCGUAGAUGGAUGUUUAAGUCAGUUGUGAAAGUUUGCGGCUCAACCGUAAAAUUGCAGUUGAUACUGGAUAUCUUGAGUGCAGUUGAGGCAGGCGGAAUUCGUGGUGUAGCGGUGAAAUGCUUAGAUAUCACGAAGAACUCCGAUUGCGAAGGCAGCCUGCUAAGCUGCAACUGACAUUGAGGCUCGAAAGUGUGGGUAUCAAACAGGAUUAGAU
rnacentral:rRNA from 1 species